rnacentral:rRNA from 1 species
UACAGAGGUCUCAAGCGUUGUUCGGAUUCAUUGGGCGUAAAGGGCGCGUAGGCGGCGCGGUAAGUCGGGUGUGAAAUCUUGGAGCUUAACUCCGAAACUGCAAUUCGAUACUGCCGUGCUUGAGGACUGGAGAGGAGACUGGAAUUACGGUGUAGCUGGUGAAAUGCGUAGAGUAUCGUAAGGAAGACCAGUGGCGAAGGCGGGU